AUUGAACGCUGGCGGCAUGCUUUACACAUGCAAGUCGAACGGCAGCGCGGGCUUCGGCCUGGCGGCGAGUGGCGAACGGGUGAGUAAUGCAUCGGAACGUGCCCAGUAGUGGGGGAUAGCCCGGCGAAAGCCGGAUUAAUACCGCAUACGACCUGAGGGUGAAAGCAGGGGACCGGAAGGCCUCGCGCUAUUGGAGCGGCCGAUGUCGGAUUAGCUAGUUGGUGGGGUAAAGGCUUACCAAGGCGACGAUCCGUAGCUGGUCUGAGAGGACGACCAGCCACACUGGGACUGAGACACGGCCCAGACUCCUACGGGAGGCAGCAGUGGGGAAUUUUGGACAAUGGGGGCAACCCUGAUCCAGCCAUGCCGCGUGCGGGAAGAAGGCCUUCGGGUUGUAAACCGCUUUUGUUCGGGAAGAAAUCCUCUGGGCUAAUACCCCGGGGGGAUGACGGUACCGGAAGAAUAAGCACCGGCUAACUACGUG
rnacentral:rRNA from 1 species